rnacentral:rRNA from 1 species
CAGUAGCCGCGGGAAUACGUAGGUCCCGAGCGUUGUCCGGAUUUAUUGGGCGUAAAGGGAGCGCAGGCGGUUUAGUAAGUCUGGAGUUAAAGGCAUUGGCUCAACCAAUGUAUGCUUUGGAAACUGUUUGACUUGAGUGCAGAAGGGGAGAGUGGAAUUCCAUGUGUAGCGGAGAAAUGCGUAGAUAUAUGGAGGAACACCGGUGGCGAAAGCGGCUCUCUGGUCUGUCACUGACGCUGAGGCUCGAAAGCGUGGGUAGCGAACAGGAUUAGAUACCCGCGUAGUCCCUGUCUCUUAUACA